rnacentral:rRNA from 1 species
GGGCCCGCACAAGCAGUGGAGUAUGUGGUUUAAUUCGAAGCAACGCGAAAAACCUUACCAGGUCUUGACAUCGAGUGAAUAACUUAGAGAUAAGUUAGUCCUUCGGGACACAAAGACAGGUGGUGCAUGGUUGUCGUCAGCUCGUGUCGUGAGAUGUUGGGUUAAGUCCCGCAACGAGCGCAACCCUUACCAUUAGUUGCUACGCAAGAGCACUCUAAUGGGACUGCCGUUGACAAAACGGAGGAAGGUGGGGAUGACGUCAAAUCAUCAUGCCCCUUAUGACCUGGGCUACACACGUACUACAAUGGCAAUUAACAGAGGGAAGCAAAGCCGCGAGGUGGAGCAAAUCCCCAAAAAUUGUCUCAGUUCGGAUUGUAGGCUGCAACUCGCCUACAUGAAGUCGGAAUUGCUAGUAAUCGCAGAUCAGCAUGCUGCGGUGAAUACGUUCCCGGGCCUU